CAGGCAGAACCUGAUAUGUAAAUGAGCAGAGCAAAUGAAACUAACUUUUGACGACCUGAUGAUCAUCCAGACUGUGUUUCUAUUGAGAGAUAAAAGGCUGGUUGAAUGAGUUGUCUAUGAAAGCUACUUCAUCUGUAAGAAAACAGGCGGCUGCACCAGUGACUGGGUCAAUGCUCUAAAAUGAGUGUCUCUGGGGAGAGAAGGGAGGGGGGCCCUGCCUCUAAAAUGAGUCUCUCUGGGGAGAGAAGGGAGGGGGGCCCUGCCUCUAAAAUGAGUCUCUCUGGGGAGAGAAGGGAGGGGGGCCCUGCCUCUAAAAUGAGUCUCUCUGGGGAACAUGACACCAAAGCUAAGAGCAGGCCUAACCCUCAACAUUUUCUGGUGAUGGAGAGAGACACAGACAAGACACAGACACAGCAACAGAAUAGGAUAUGAUGGAGAGAGACAGACAAGACACGGAGACAGCAACAGAAUAGGACA